rnacentral:rRNA from 1 species
GACGAACGCUGGCGGCGUGCCUAAUACAUGCAAGUCGAACGCAGUGGGGACGGGUGAGUAACAAGUGGGUAACCUCCCAUCAGAGGGGAUAACACUUGGAAACAGGUGCUAAACCGAGACUGAUGGAUGGACCCGCGGGGCAUUAGCUAGGUGGUGAGGUAACGGCUCACCAAGGCCACGAUGCAUAGCCGACCUGAGAGGUUUAUCGGCAACACGUGGACUGAGCCACGGCCCAUACUCCUACGGACGGCAGCUGUAGGGCAUCUUCGGCAAUGGACGAAAGUCGUACCAAGCAACGCCGCGUGAGUGAAGCAGGUUUUCGGAUCUUAAACCUCUGGUGUUAGAGAAGCGGUAUCUAACCAGAAAGCCACGGCUAACUACGUGCCAGCAGCCGCGGUAAUUC